GAUGAAGAACGUAGCGAAAUGCGAUAAGUAAUGCGAAUUGCAGAAUUCAGUGAGUCAUCGAAUCUUUGAACGCACAUUGCGCCCUGUGGUAUUCCGCAGGGCAUGCCUGUUCGAGCGUCAUUUCAACCCUCAAGCCCCGCUUGGUGUUGGGCCCCGCCCGCCGUGGCCGGCCCUAAAGACAGUGGCGGCGCCGCCUGGCCCUCAGCGUAGUACAGCUCUCGCUCCAGGGUCCGGCGGCCGCCUGCCAGAACCCCCCCAACUCUGUGGUUGACCUCGGAUCAGGUAGGGAUACCCGCUGAACUUAAGCAUAUCAAUAAGCGUAGGA
rnacentral:misc_RNA from 1 species